GAUGAACGCUGGCGGCGUGCCUAAUACAUGCAAGUCGAGCGAACAGACGAGGAGCUUGCUCCUCUGACGUUAGCGGCGGACGGGUGAGUAACACGUGGAUAACCUACCUAUAAGACUGGGAUAACUUCGGGAAACCGGAGCUAAUACCGGAUAACAUGUUGAACCGCAUGGUUCAACAGUGAAAGACGGUCUUGCUGUCACUUAUAGAUGGAUCCGCGCCGCAUUAGCUAGUUGGUAAGGUAACGGCUUACCAAGGCAACGAUGCGUAGCCGACCUGAGAGGGUGAGCGGCCACACGGGAACUGAGACACGGUCCAGACUCCUACGGGAGGCAGCAGUAGGGAAUCUUCCGCAAUGGGCGAAAGCCUGACGGAGCAACGCCGCGUGAGUGAAGAAGGUCUUCGGAUCGUAAAACUCUGUUAUUAGGGAAGAACAAAUGUGUAAGUAACUAUGCACGUCUUGACGGUACCUAAUCAGAAAGCCACGGCUAACUACGUG
rnacentral:rRNA from 1 species